CCCUUAGAUGUUCUGGGCCGCACGCGUGCUACACUGACACUUGCAACGAGUACUUUGCUUUACCGAAAGGUAAUGCUAAUCAUCAAUAAGUGUCGUGAUGGGGAUAGAUCUUUGGAAUUAUGGAUCUUGAACGAGGAAUGCCUAGUAAGCGUAGGUCAUUAGCCUACGCUGAUUAAGUCCCUGCCCUUUGUACACACCGCCCGUCGCUCCUACCGAUUUCGAGUGGUCCGGUGAAACUUUUGGACCGUGCGACUUUAUUGUUGUCACGGAAAGUCAGUUAAACCAUACUACUUAGAGGAAGGAGAAGUCGUANCA
rnacentral:rRNA from 1 species